rnacentral:rRNA from 1 species
AGAUUGAACGCUGGCGGCAUGCCUAACACAUGCAAGUCGAACGGGAGUAGCAAUACUCUAGUGGCGGACGGGUGAGGAAUACGUAGGAAUUUGCCCUUAAGUGGGGGAUAACCCGGGGAAACCCGGAUUAAUACCGCAUGACCUCGAAAGAGCAAAGUGGGGGAUCGCAAGACCUCACGCUUUUGGAGAAGCCUACGUCGGAUUAGCUAGUUGGUGAGGUAAUGGCUCACCAAGGCGACGAUCCGUAACUGGUCUGAGAGGAUGAUCAGUCACACCGGAACUGAGACACGGUCCGGACUCCGUACGGGAGGCAGCAGGUGGGAAUAUUGGACAAGUGGGCGCAAGCCUGACUCCAGCAAUGCCGCGUGUGUAGAAGAAGGCCGUUCGGUUGUAAAGCUAAGUUUAGGUUAGGGAAAGUAAAAACUCGUACCUACUAAC